rnacentral:tRNA from 1 species
UUGAGUUUAGUUUAAUUAAAAUUUUUGGUUUUGGUUCAAAAGAUUAUUCUCAAA